ACUCAGGAAGCUGAGGCAGGGGAAUCACUUGAACCCAGGAGACGGAGGUUGCAGUGAGCCAAGAUCGCGCCACCGCACUCCAGCCUGGCGACAGAGCGAGACUGUCUAAAAAAAAAAAAAAGGAUGCACACUUGCCUUCUGUUCACCUCAUGCCGACUCCCCCACCCCCAACUUCAUGACACAGCUAUCAAAGGUCCCUGGUGAUGUCAUAAUGGCUGCAUCCAGGGGUGGUCUUCCAGCUUCAUCUUCCUCUCUGACUCCUCUCCUCUGCACUCUCCUCCCUGCCGCCUACACUCUGCCUCUCUCUUACCCAUCUGGUCUUUCCUUCUCAGCUGCUUUCACAGGCUCUGCUUUCUCUCCUGGUUACUUUACAUGCCCAUUCAUUUUUCAAGCAGUUACUGGGCACCUACAGUGGGGCUGGGCACAGUUCUCCCUGAUGCGCAGUCCCUGUUUUUUGUUUUUUUUUUUUGA
rnacentral:lncRNA from 10 species